UACGAAGGGGGGCUAGCGUUGCUCGGAUUGACUGGGGCGUAAAGGGCGCGUAGGCGGUUCGUACAGUCAGACGUGAAAUUCCUGGGCUCAACCUGGGGGCUGCGUUUGAUACGUGCGGACUUGAGUGCGGAAGAGGGUCGUGGAAUUCCCAGUGUAGAGGUGAAAUUCGUAGAUAUUGGGAAGAACACCGGUGGCGAAGGCGGCGACCUGGUCCGAUACUGACGCUGAGGCGCGAAAAGCUAGGGUAGCAAACGGG
rnacentral:rRNA from 1 species